ACGUAGGAGGCAAGCGUUAUCCGGAUUUACUGGGCGUAAAGCGCAUGCAGGUGGUUUUGUAAGUUGGAUGUGAAAGCUCCUGGCUUAACUGGGAGAGGUCGUUCAAAACUACAAGACUUGAGAUUGGUAGAGGAAAAUGGAAUUCCGGGUGUAGUGGUGAAAUGCGUAGAUAUCCGGAGGAACACCAGUGGCGAAAGCGGUUUUCUGGACCAAUUCUGACACUCAGAUGCGAAAGCUAAGGUAGCAAACGG
rnacentral:rRNA from 1 species